rnacentral:rRNA from 1 species
CGCGGCCUAUCAGCUUGUUGGUGAGGUAAUGGCUCACCAAGGCUUCGACGGGUAGCCGGCCUGAGAGGGCGACCGGCCACACUGGGACUGAGAUACGGCCCAGACUCCUACGGGAGGCAGCAGUGGGGAAUAUUGCACAAUGGGCGCAAGCCUGAUGCAGCAACGCCGCGUGCGGGAUGACGGCCUUCGGGUUGUAAACCGCUUUCAGCAGGGACGAAGCUAACGUGACGGUACCUACAGAAGAAGGACCGGCUAACUACGUGCCAGCAGCCGCGGUGAUACGUAGGGUCCGAGCGUUGUCCGGAAUUAUUGGGCGUAAAGGGCUUGUAGGCGGUCCGUCGCGUCAGGAGUGAAAACUCGGGGCUUAACCCCGAGCCUGCUUUUGAUACGGGCGGACUAGAAGGAUGCAGGGGAGAACGGAAUUCCUGGUGGGGCGGUGGAAUGCGCAGAUAUCAGGAGGAACACCGGUGGCGGAGGCGGUUCUCUGGGCAUCACCUGACGCUGAGAAGCGAAAGCGUGGGGAGCAAACAGGCUUAGAUACCCUGGUAGUCCACGCCGUAAACGGUGGGCACUAGGUGUGGGGGACAUUCCACGUUCUCCGUGCCGAAGCUAACGCAUUAAGUGCCCCGCCUGGGGAGUACGG